rnacentral:rRNA from 1 species
UCACCUACGGGGCGCAGCAGUGGGGAAUAUUGCACAAUGGGGGAAACCCUGAUGCAGCAACGCCGCGUGAAGGAAGACGGUUUUCGGAUUGUAAACUUCUGUUCUUAGUGAAGAAAAAUGACGGUAGCUAAGGAGCAAGCCACGGCUAACUACGUGCCAGCAGCCGCGGUAAUACGGAGGAUGCGAGCGUUAUCCGGAUUUAUUGGGUUUAAAGGGUGCGUAGGCGGGCUUUUAAGUCAGCGGUAAAAAUUCGGGGCUCAACCCCGUCCGGCCGUUGAAACUGGGGGCCUUGAGUGGGCG